rnacentral:ncRNA from 1 species
CGGUUCGGUCGCCGCUAAGGCGUCAAAAGGGAAUGCCGUGAAAGUCGGCAACAGUCCCGCUGCUGUAAGUCUUUUUCAGCGUGGUUCACCCCACCAUGCCACUGCGCUGCACCCAGCGUGGGAAGGCAAGAAUCUCGCAAGACAAGUCAGAAGACCUGCCCGACCACA